UACGGGGGGGGGCAAGCGUUGUUCGGAAUUACUGGGCGUAAAGGGCCAGUAGGCGGCCAACUAAGUCGGAUGUGAAAUCCCCAGGCUCAACUUGGGAACUGCAUCCGAUACUGGAUGGCUUGAAUUCGGGAGAGGGAUGCAGAAUUCCAGGUGUAGCGGUGAAAUGCGUAGAUAUCUGGAGGAAUACCGGUGGCGAAGGCGGCAUCCUGGACCGACAUUGACGCUGAACGGCGAAAGCUAGGGGAGCAAACGGG
rnacentral:rRNA from 1 species